rnacentral:rRNA from 1 species
AUUGAACGCUGGCGGCAGGCCUAACACAUGCAAGUCGAACGCGUGGCGGACGGGUGAGUCAUGUCUGGGAACCUGCCUGAUGGAGGGGGAUAACUACUGGAACCGGUAGCUAAUACCGCAUACCAUCAGAUGUGCGCAGAUGGGAUUAGCUAGUUGGUGGGGUAACGGCUCACCAAGGCGACGAUCCCUAGCUGGUCUGAGAGGAUGACCAGCAACACUGGAACUGAGACACGGUCCAGACUCCUACGGGAGGCAGCAGUGGGGAAUAUUGCACAAUGGGCGCAAGCCUGAUGCAGCCAUGCCGCGUGUAUGAAGAAGGCCUUCGGGUUGUAAAGUACUUUCAGCGGGGAGGCGUUACCCGCAGAAGAAGCACCGGCUAACUCCGUGCCAGCAGCCGCGGUAAUUC